rnacentral:rRNA from 1 species
UGGGGAAUAUUGCGCAAUGGGCGAAAGCCUGACGCAGCGACGCCGCGUGAGGGAUGAAGGUCUUCGGAUCGUAAACCUCUGUCAGCAGGGAAGAACGGUCACUGUGCUAAUCAGCAGUGAAUUGACGGUACCUGCAAAGGAAGCACCGGCUAACUCCGUGCCAGCAGCCGNGGUAAUCGUGCUCU